UACAGAGGUCCCGAGCGUUGUUCGGAUUUAUUGGGCGUAAAGGGUGCGUAGGCGGCGCGGUAAGUCGGGUGUGAAAUCUCGGAGCUUAACUCCGAAACUGCAUUCGAUACUGCCGUGCUUGAGGACUGGAGAGGAGACUGGAAUUUACGGUGUAGCGGUGAAAUGCGUAGAUAUCGUAAGGAAGACCAGUGGCGAAGGCGGGUCUCUGGACAGUUCCUGACGCUGAGGCACGAAGGCCAGGGGAGCAAACGGG
rnacentral:rRNA from 1 species